rnacentral:rRNA from 1 species
UACAGAGGGUGCGAGCGUUGUCCGGAAUCACUGGGCGUAAAGGGCGCGUAGGCGGCUCGGUAAGGUUGCGGUGAAAGCCCGGGGCUCAACCCCGGGUCGGCCGUGGCAACUGCUGAGCUAGAGCACUGUAGAGGCAGGUGGAAUUCCGGGUGUAGCGGUGGAAUGCGUAGAGAUCCGGAGGAACACCAGCGGCGAAGGCGGCAUCCUGGACUGGUCCUGACACUCAGGAGCGAAAGCGUGGGGGAGCGAUCCGG